AGCGAACGCUGGCGGCAGGCUUAACACAUGCAAGUCGAGCGGGCGUAGCAAUACGUCAGCGGCAGACGGGUGAGUAACGCGUGGGAACAUACCUUUUGGUUCGGAACAACACAGGGAAACUUGUGCUAAUACCGGAUAAGCCCUUACGGGGAAAGAUUUAUCGCCGAAAGAUUGGCCCGCGUCUGAUUAGCUUGUUGGUGAGGUAACGGCUCACCAAGGCGACGAUCAGUAGCNGGUCUGAGAGGACAAUCAGCCACACUGGCACUGCGACACGGGCCAGACUCCUACGGGAGGCAGCAGUAAGGAAUAUUGCGCAAUGGGCGAAAGCCUGACGCAGCGACGCCGCGUGGGGGAUGAAGGUCUUCGGAUUGUAAACCCUUUCGGAGGGAAGAUGGAACGAGCAAUCGUUCGGACGGUACCUCCAGAAGCAGCCACGGC
rnacentral:rRNA from 1 species